GCCCUCGUAGCUCAGUUGGAUAGAGCACGUCACUUCUAAUGACACGGUCGCAGGUUCGAUUCCUGCCGAGGGCG
rnacentral:tRNA from 1 species